GACUAACGCUGGCGGCGUGCCUAACACAUGCAAGUCGAACGAGGUAGCAAUACCUAGUGGCAGACGGGUGAGUAACACGUAGUCAACCUACCUCUUUGUGGGGGAUAACUAGCCGAAAGGUUAGCUAAUACCGCAUAAGAUCGUCGAGGGGCAUCCCUUGACGCUGAAAGCAGUAAUGCGCUGAGAGACGGGACUGCGUCCCAUUAGUUAGUUGGUGGGGUAAUGGCCUACCAAGACUCCGAUGGGUAGCUGGCUUGAGAGAGCGACCAG
rnacentral:rRNA from 1 species